rnacentral:rRNA from 1 species
UACGUAGGGGGCAAACGUUGUCCGGAUUUACUGGGCGUAAAGGGUGCUCAGGCGGUCUUGUAAGUUAGAAGUGAAAUCCUAGGGCUCAACUCUGGAACUGCUUUUAAUACUGCAAGGCUUGAAUAUGGAAGAGGAGGGUGGAAUUUCUGGUGUAGCAGUGAAAUGCGUAGAUAUCAGAAAGAACACCAGUGGCGAAGGCGGCCCUCUGGUCCAUAAUUGACGCUAAAGCACGAAAGCGUGGGGAGCAAACAGG